AGAGUUUGAUCCUGGCUCAGAGCGAACGCUGGCGGCAGGCUUAACACAUGCAAGUCGAACGCUCAUCUUCGGAUGGGAGUGGCAGACGGGUGAGUAACACGUGGGAGCGUACCCUUCGAUCUGGGAUAACUUCGGGAAACUGGAGCUAAUACCGGAUACGCCCUUUUGGGGAAAGGUUUACUGUCGAAGGAUCGGCCCGCGUCUGAUUAGCUAGUUGGUGGGGUAACGGCCUACCAAGGCGACGAUCAGUAGCUGGUCUGAGAGGAUGAUCAGCCACACUGGGACUGAGACACGGCCCAGACUCCUACGGGAGGCAGCAGUGGGGAAUAUUGGACAAUGGGCGCAAGCCUGAUCCAGCCAUGCCGCGUGAGUGAUGAAGGCCUUAGGGUUGUAAAGCUCUUUUGUCCGGGACGAUAAUGACGGUACCGGAAGAAUGAGCCCCGGCUAACUUCGUG
rnacentral:rRNA from 1 species